rnacentral:rRNA from 1 species
CCAAUAGCGUAUAUUAAAGUUGUUGCAGUUAAAAAGCUCGUAGUUGAAUUUCGGGAUCAGUACGCUGGUCAUGCCUUUGGUAUGCACUGGUGUCACUGGUUUCUCCCUUCUGAAGAUCCGUGAUGUCAUUAAUUUGGUGUCGCGGGGAAUCAGGACUGUUACUUUGAAAGAAUUAGAGUGUUUAAAGCAGGCUCACGCUUGAAUACAUUAGCAUGGAAUAAUGAAAUAGGACGUUUGACCCUAUUUUGUUGGUUUCUAGGAUCGACGUAAUGAUUAAUAGGGAUAGUUGGGGGCAUUAGUAUUCAAUUGUCAGAGGUGAAAUUCUUGGAUUUAUUGAAGACUAACUACUGCGAAAGCAUUUGCCAAGGAUGUUUUCAUUAAUCAAGAACGAAAGUUAGGGGAUCGAAGACGAUCAGAUACCGUCGUAGUCUUAACCAUAAACUAUGCCGACUAGGGAUCGGAUGAUGUUAAUUUUAUAAUGACUCAUUCGGCGCCUUACG